UGGGCGUGUAGCUCAGGUGGUAGAGCACUUGACUUUUAAUCAAGUUGUCCGGGGUUCGAAUCCCCGCACGCUCAU
rnacentral:tRNA from 3 species